rnacentral:rRNA from 1 species
GAUGAACGCUGGCGGCGUGCCUAAUACAUGCAAGUCGAGCGGCAGCGCGAGUAGUUUACUACUUGGCGGCGAGCGGCGGACGGCUGAGUAACGCGUGGGAAUCUGCCCCAAAGUGAGGGAUAAGCACCAGAAAUGGUGUCUAAUACCGCAUAUGAUCUUCGGAUUAAAGCUUUCGAGCGCUUUGGGAGGAGCCCGCGUCGGAUUAGAUUGUUGGUGAGGUAAUGGCUCACCAAGUCGACGAUCCGUAGCUGGUCUGAGAGGAUGAUCAGCCAGACUGGAACUGAGACACGGUCCAGACUCCUACGGGAGGCAGCAGUAAGGAAUCUUCCACAAUGGGCGAAAGCCUGAUGGAGCAACGCCGCGUGCAGGAUGAAGGCCUUCGGGUUGUAAAGCUCUUUCAGCUGGGAAGAUAAUGACGGUACCAGCAGAAGAAGCCCCGGCUAACUCCGUGCCAGCCGCCGCCGUAACAC